GGAGGAAGAUGGAGGAGAGGUUUCCCUCUGGGAGGAAGAUGGAGGAGAGGUUUCCUCUGGGAGGAAGAUGGAGGAGAGGUUUCCCUCUGGGAGGAAGAUGGAGGAGAGGUUUCCCUCUGGGAGGAAGAUGGAGGAGAGGUUUCCCUCUGGGAGGAAGAUGGAGGAGAGGUUUCCCUCUGGGAGGAAGAUGGAGGAGAGGUUUCCCUCUGGGAGGAAGAUGGAGGAGAGGUUUCCCUCUGGGAGGAAGAUGGAGGAGAGGUUUCCCUCGGAGGAAGAUGGAGGAGAGGUUUCCCU